GACGAACGCUGGCGGCGUGCUUAACACAUGCAAGUCGAACGGAAAGGCCCUGCUUUUGUGGGGUGCUCGAGUGGCGAACGGGUGAGUAACACGUGAGUAACCUGCCCUUGACUUUGGGAUAACUUCAGGAAACUGGGGCUAAUACCGGAUAGGAGCUCCUGCUGCAUGGUGGGGGUUGGAAAGUUUCGGCGGUUGGGGAUGGACUCGCGGCUUAUCAGCUUGUUGGUGGGGUAGUGGCUUACCAAGGCUUUGAAGGGUAGCCGGCCUGAGAGGGUGACCGGCCACAUUGGGACUGAGGUACGGCCCAGACUCCUACGGGAGGCAGCAGUGGGGAAUAUUGCACAAUGGGCGGAAGCCUGAUGCAGCAACGCCGCGUGCGGGAUGACGGCCUUCGGGUUGUAAACCGCUUUCGCCUGUGACGAAGCGUGAGUGACGGUAAUGGGUAAAGAAGCACCGGCUAACUACGUG
rnacentral:rRNA from 1 species